rnacentral:lncRNA from 1 species
GGACUCGCCGGCGAAGUUCGAAACGAGAUGUGUCGCAUGACCGACCGAGACGACGAAGCAGCGCUCUGAAACCCCUUUGCCGGAGUUGAGAAAUGAGGCCGAAAUCGAAAUGGGUUUUAGAGAACAAGGACGAGAACGCUGUCAGUCAUCGCCAAUGCUGCCCGCUCGCGACUCCUUCAGUCGCAGCAGUAGCUCCACGACGAGGACACCUUCGGUCAUCGCCGCCCUCGUCCACUCGUCCCUCGCCACCAUCAUCAAAACCUUCUACUCGUCCUUCGCCACCAUGAGACGAGGAUGGAUAAUGGGUAUAGGCAGAGCAGAGGCCAAAACGACAUCGAAUUAGGG